GCCUAGUUAGCUUAGUUGGUAGUGCGUCUGCGCCUUGUAAGCGCUAGGCCGCGGGUUCGAUUCCCACCCGGGGCG
rnacentral:tRNA from 1 species